rnacentral:tRNA from 1 species
CGGAACGUGGCGCAGCGGCAGCGUGCCCGCUUUGGAAGCGGGGGGUCGUGGGUUCGAGUCCCACCGUUCCGA